UACGUAGGGUCCGAGCGUUGUCCGGAAUUAUUGGGCGUAAAGAGCUCGUAGGCGGUCUGUCGCGUCUGCUGUGAAAACUGGGGGCUCAACCCCCAGCCUGCAGUGGGUACGGGCAGACUAGAGUGCGGUAGGGGAGAUUGGAACUCCUGGUGUAGCGGUGGAAUGCGCAGAUAUCAGGAAGAACACCGAUGGCGAAGGCAGAUCUCUGGGCCGUAACUGACGCUGAGGAGCGAAAGCAUGGGGAGCGAACAGG
rnacentral:rRNA from 1 species